GGCUUUAUAGUCAAUAUAAUGAUAUUAGAUUGCAAGUCUAAAGUAGUAAAUUUACUAAAGCUU
rnacentral:tRNA from 1 species